CUACGGGACGCUGCAGGCGAGAAAACUUUGCAAUGUGCGAAAGCACGACAAGGUUAAUCCGAGUGGUUUGUGCUAAACGAACCUUUUGACAGUCCUAGAAACACUGUUGAAUAAGGGGUGGGCAAGUUCUGGUGUCAGCCGCCGCGGUAAAACCAGCACCUCAAGUGGUCAGGAUGAUUAUUGGGCCUAAAGCAUCCGUAGCCGGCUCUGUAAGUUUUCGGUUAAAUCCGUACGCUCAACGUACAGGCUGCCGGGAAUACUGCAGAGCUAGGGAGUGGGAGAGGUAGACGGUACUCGGUAGGAAGGGGUAAAAUCCUUUGAUCUAUUGAUGACCACCUGUGGCGAAGGCGGUCUACCAGAACACGUCCGACGGUGAGGGAUGAAAGCUGGGGGAGCAAACCGGAUUAGAUACCCCAGUAGUC
rnacentral:rRNA from 1 species